CUCUCAGGGAGCAACGAGAGCGGCGGCAGCGGCUUUUUUGCCCCAUCUCGUCUGCACGUUUCCCAAACGCUUCCCCGUUUUCAGAUUUAGCGGCCUAGAGCCAUGUUACACUGCCAUAAUUUAACCGUGGAGCAUGUUUUACGGUCACGCGGGCCCCACCGGCGCCAGGCAGACAGCAGGCUGAUACGCGUCAGGGCCGAGCGGGCGCGAGCACGGCAGGCAGGCGGGCCGAGCCGGGGCGGGCGCUGGCGCGCGCCUCAACACAUACAAGGUCACGCUGCUGCUCACCCGCUGCAGUUGCUCAGCUCAUGGGCAGCUUUACCAGCGGCACUCCACGGGCAGCUGGACCGGCAGGCCGCAGAAGCAGAGCUGCGCUGAGGGCCCGCGGCCCGCCCUGAAGCCUGCCCCGCCCGGCGACUGGGCCGCCCCCGCUGAGGUCAGGGGGCUCCAAGCAAUCGCGGGCUGUUUGUUUUGCCAGCAGUCAGACGUCCUCGCUGAAGAGUAACAGCUGGUCACGAACACCGCAGACUACUUAAACAGUGUUCCAGUACGCAAAGGAGCUGCUAAAAAGUAAUGCAGUACAGUUCUCAAGUCUACCAAUAAGCACAUGUGGAGCAUUGAAAUCACAGGAAUUUUGAAUCGCUGUUCAACAUACUCUGAAGUUCAGGUAGAACUGUACUUUGGAUUUCUUAUACCUUCAGAUUUCUAACUUUCAGCCAAAUCUGCGACAAAAGAAACACCUCAGGAAAAUGUUAUUCUGUCAUACUAGAGAUGCAAUUAUUUUAAAGGAAAACAGGAGAAAAAAAUAAAUCCAGAAGCAACAGGGUAAGUUAUAGCACGAUGGGAUAAUUUCUAUCCUUAUAACAAGGUAAGUUGUAAUAUGAUUCCUGGAUAGCUACAGGAAAAGGUUAAAGCCUGAAUUUACCUCUACUACACAAUGAAUUCCCAACAGUGACCUAUUUUCAUCACUUGCGCUGCACAUUGUGUAAAAAACAAUGCACUUUCCUCAUCACUUUGUCAAAGAUGCACCUAAAAAGGAUCACACUGACAAUAUACGAGAAAUGUACAACACUGAGUACUGCAGUUGAAAAUUAGUGUUCACAAAUGAAAAACUGUAUUAAUUUUAGGACUACAAACAGACUAGAAAAAAUGUGGACAUUUAAUAAUAUCUCCUGCUUUGAGUCAUUUAGACAGAACUAUCCUAUUGUUCUCUUCAGACUAUUUUUAUCUGAGGAAAAAAAAUACUUAAAGACUCUCUGAAAUACGUUGUGCUGUAUCAAAAAAAUAAAACUAAUUUAUGCUGUAAAAAAAUAGACAAUGAUUUACUACAUAUUUUUCUCUGAUUUUUCUUUUCAAACAAUCUAAGACAAAAACUCUUAAUGAGGCUCUAAAGACAAAAGUUAUGAUGCUGAAUCAGCAAAAAAUUAUGGAUAUAUUUACAUUAAAAAUUAAAGUUUAAGACAAACUUUUACUGCCACUGAAAUCCAAGUUAAAUAAAACAAUUCAUGGAAUCAUAGAAUCACCAAGGUUGGAAAAGACCCACAGGAUCAUCCAGUCCAACCAUCCGCCCUUCACCAAUGGUUCUUGCUAAACCAUGUCCCUCAGCACAACAU